rnacentral:telomerase_RNA from 1 species
AAGGGGUGUGGGAACCUAGGAGAUGAGUCUGCUUAUUGAUUGCUAAACCCUGAACCCUCUCAUGUUUAACGAUGAGAACUAAUAUUGGGGGUCUUUGGCCGGCGUUUCCCCCGAAAAAUAAUUAAAAAACGUCGAUGAUUGCAUAAGAGGCUCGUCUCCAAAAAGUAGACCAAUAGGUUGGGUUUGGUUCGUAGGUGGUUCUGUUGAAACUAGAUUUAGUGUCUGCGGUUAACCGUUUCCUCGCCUUACCCUCCCACCCCCAAAUUUUU